AGAAGAAGAAGAAGAAUAAGAGUUAUUGUGAGAAGGUGAGAAGCAAGGAGACUGAGAAAUGUCGGAGCAGCGGCUGUAAUAAGGAAGUUCAGUUCGAGUGAGCAAGAACCCUCUAGUGAAUAUCAGUAUACCCACCACAUGAACCACCGUUACCACCCAAUAACACCAUCUCCUCCGCCUUCCCUCCAUUUUUUUUCUGUUUUCUCCCCCUAUUCUGGGCAGCUACACAAAGUCUAAAAUGGCCCAACCCACAAACGCCACGCUCCUCCGUUUACAUCAUAUGGGUGUGGCUUUUACGUCGUCGUUUUGACCCCAGAGUUCCAAUAUCCUAUCAACUCUCUGCCCUUUCGUACCAUCUAUAGAGCGGCCAUGAAGUCUACUCUAAUGGGUUCUCUCAAAUUCCAGUUCCCUCCAAUGAAAAUCUGCCAAAUUCCCCAGAAACUCCACUUUCAGGCAUCCAUUAUCACUUGCAGCCUGAGAGGAGGGCCAAGGAAACCCUUAUGGAGGUCAAAGAGAUUAUCAACAGAAGCUAUACAAGCAGUCCAAUCUCUGAAGUUGGCCAAAUCAUCCAAUCCCAGAUUGGAAGAGGUUUUUAACAGUAAACUCUCCAGGCUUCUCAAAGCUGACUUGCUAGAUACACUUGAGGUCUUGCAAAACCAAAAUGAAUUGGAUUUGGCUCUCAAGGUCUUCGAGUUUGUGGAAAAGGAAGUAUGGUACAAACCAAAUAUAUCCUUGUAUCAUAGCAUGAUUCAGAUGUUGGGGAAGAACAAAUUUAUUGAAAUGGCUGAAGAAUUCUUUUCGAAACUAGAGAAGGAAGGUUUGAAGCCUGAUACAAGAACAUUUACUGAGAUGAUUGGGGCUUAUCUACGAGUGGAUAUGAUUGAUAAGGCAAUGGAAACAUAUGGCAGAAUGAAGGCUUCAGGUUGUACCCCAGAUAAAUUAACCUUUACAAUUUUGAUUAGGAAUCUUGAGGAUGCUGGAAGAGAAGAGCUUGUAGCUUUUAUAAAGAAAGAAUGUGCUGAAUAUAUGGAUUAUCCUGAGAAAUUCCUUGAAGAAGUUGAGCAGAAAAAACAUGUAAGUCAUCCUUUUCUAUGUGAAGAUAAUAUAAUUUUUGUUAUUGAUUUGUUUCAUGUUUAUGCCAUCAUAUCUACAAAGCAAGCAAAGAAUUUUCGUUUUGUUUCUUCUCCCUGAUAUGUUAAAAUAGCAAGAGGAAACAAUGAUCCUUUGUUUGUAAAACAGAGGAGACAAAAGUAAAGAACAUAUCAAGACACUUGUUUCCCUGCAUGUAAUGUGAUGUAAACGGUAGUUCUAACUAGGAAAUAAUUGGCCUCUAAUGUGUUCUUAAAAAUUUAUCAGUUAGCCAUUAGAUUAUUAUCCAAAAACAUGAGAAGUGUUUGCUGGCUUCCUUAACUCUUGUAUUAGAUUUCAGAUUAAAAUGGUGUUAGAGAUGAUAACAGGACUACUCUUGAAAGCUACUUUUGUGCUUGUCAGAAUUAUGUUUUCAUAAGGGUAAAUUACUGCAACUUAGCAAUCUGGUCUUUGUGAUUUGUUAGGUCCUGUUUAGCAUUGCUGUUGGAACUGCUGUUGAUAAAAUCAUUUUUUUAGAUAUACUAGUUAGAAAGUAUUAAA
rnacentral:misc_RNA from 1 species